UUAAGCUAGAAAGAGCGCAGGGUGGAUGCCUUGGCACUAAGAGCCGAUGAAAGACGUGAUAAGCUGCGAAAAGCUUCGGGGAGGAGCAAAUAUCCUUUGAUCCGGAGAUCUCUGAAUGGGGAAACCUACUUGAGUGUACCUCAAGUGACGUAUGGUGAAUACAUAGCCAUACGCCGGGAACCCGGUGAACUGAAACAUCUAAGUAGCCGGAGGAAGAGAAAGAAACAUCGAUUCCGAAAGUAGCGGCGAGCGAAAUUGGAAGAGCCCAAACCGGAAUGCGUGCAUUCCGGGGUUAAGGACCACGUUAUGUGACCCGUAUGGUAAUGGAACUGUCUGGGAAGUCAGACCAAAGAGAGUGAAAGUCUCGUACAUGAAACCAGAAGGGAGCUAGUGGGAUCCAGAGUACUGCGAGACACGUGGAACCUUGCAGGAAGUCGGGGGGACCACCCCCCAAGGCUAAAUACUCCUUAGUGACCGAUAGCGCAUAGUACUGUGAAGGAAAGGUGAAAAGGACCCCGGGAGGGGAGUGAAAGAGAACCUGAAACCCUGUGUUUACAAGCUGUGGAAGCACGUUAAGGUGCAACCGCGUACUUUUUGUAGAACGGUCCGGCGAGUUGCGGAUGCUGGCAAGGUUAAGCACUGAAGGUGCGGAGCCGAAGCGAGAGCAAGUCUGAAUAGGGCGUCAAGUCAGCAUGUGCAGACCCGAAACCGGGUGAUCUAUCCAUGUCCAGGUUGAAGCGAAAGUAAAAUUUCGUGGAGGACCGAACGCACAUCCGUUGAAAAGGGUGGCGAUGAGGUGUGGAUAGGGGAGAAAUUCCAAUCGAACCCGGAGAUAGCUGGUUCUCCUCGAAAUAGCUUUAGGGCUAGCCUCAUAUUAGUCUUGCGGAGGUAGAGCACUGAAUAUCCUAGGGGGCGUCAAAGCUUACCGAAGAUUAUCAAACUCCGAAUGCCGUAAAGAUGAUGUAUGGGAGUCAGACUGCACGAGAUAAGUUGGGUAGUCAAAAGGGAAAGAGCCCAGACCUACAGCUAAGGUCCCAAAGUACGUGUUAAGUGGAAAAGGAUGUGGGAUUUCGAAGACAACUAGGAUGUUGGCUCAGAAGCAGCCAUACAUUCAAAGAGUGCGUAAUAGCUCACUAGUCGAGAGGUCCUGCGCCGAAAAUGUCCGGGGCUGAAACACAACACCGAAGCUCAGGAAUGUAUUUAUACAUUGGUAGAGGAGCAUUCUUAAAGGGGCGAAGCAGUACCGAUAAGGAGCUGUGGACUUUUAAGAAGAGAGAAUGCCGGAAUGAGUAGCGAGAUGGAGGUGGGAAUCCUCCAGGCCGAAUAUCUAAGGUUUCCAGGGUAAAGCUGAUCUGCCCUGGGUAAGUCGGGGCCUAAGGCAAGGCUGAGAAGCGUAGCUGAUGGACAACAGGUUUAGAUUCCUGUACCACAUGAUAUCAGAACUGUGGGGACGCAGAGGGAUAAGAUGACCGGGGAACAGAACCCCGGGCAAGCGUAGGAGGUGUCAGGCAGGCAAAUCCGCCUGAUAAGCCAAAGACGUGACGCGGACCGAACUAAAGUAGGGAAGCAUCCGAUUCCAGCUGCCGAGAAAAGCCGCUAUUGUGUAUCAUGUGCCCGUACCGUAAACCGACACAGGUGGAUGAGGAGAGAAUCCUAAGGCCGGCGGGAGAAGCAUUGUUAAGGAACUCGGCAAAAUGACCCCGUAACUUCGGGAGAAGGGGUGCCUGCGAGAGCAGGCCGCAGAGAAUAGGCUCAAGCAACUGUUUAGCAAAAACACAGGUCUAUGCGAAACCGAAAGGUGAGGUAUAUGGGCUGACGCCUGCCCGGUGCUGGAAGGUUAAGAGGAGAGGUUAGCGCAAGCGAAGCUUUGAAUUUAAGCCCCAGUAAACGGCGGCCGUAACUAUAACGGUCCUAAGGUAGCGAAAUUCCUUGUCGGGU
rnacentral:rRNA from 1 species